CAAGUACUCCCUCUGUCCGGAAUUACUUGUCAUCAAAAUGGAUGUGUCUACAACUAAAAUACAUCUAGAUACAUCCAUUUCAAUGACAAGUAUUUUCGGACGGAGGGAGUACAAG
rnacentral:pre_miRNA from 1 species